rnacentral:pre_miRNA from 1 species
GAUUUCAAUUGAAAAAGUCAUCAACAAUAAAGUUGUAUAACUCAUCAAGAUAUAUAACUUUUAUUUUGGUCAUUUCUUCAUCAGACAAAGUGAUAGUAAUGUUGUUCACGAAUUUUACAUAUCUCUCGUAUGGUUUUAUAAACUGUAAGAGAGAUGUAAAUUUGUGAAUAAUGUUACUAAGUUUGUCGGAUGAAAAUAUGACAAAAAUAAAAGCUGUGUAUCUUGAUGAGUUCUUCAACUUUUAUGUUUAUGACUUUUUUAGCUAAAAUU